GUUUUAAUAGUUUAAUAUAAAACUCUGGUCUUGUAAACCAAAAAUGAAUUUUAAUUCUUAAAACA
rnacentral:tRNA from 1 species